CCUACGGGAGGCAGCAGUGGGGGAUAUUGCACAAUGGGGGAAACCCUGAUGCAGCGACGCCGCGUGGGUGAAGAAGCGCCUCGGCGCGUAAAGCCCUGUCAGCAGGGAAGAAAAUGACGGUACCUGUAGAAGAAGCCCCGGCUAACUACGUGCCAGCAGCCGCGGUAAUACGUAGGGGGCCAGCGUUAUCCGGAUUUACUGGGCGUUAAGGGGGCGCAGACGGCGAUGCAAGCCAGGAGUGAAAGCCCGGGGCCCAACCCCGGGACUGCUCUUGGAACUGCGUAGCUAGAGCGCAGGAGGGGCAGGCGGAAUUCCUGGUGUAGCGGUGAAAUGCGUAGAUAUCAGGAGGAACACCGGUGGCGAAGGCGGCCUGCUGGACUGCAACUGACGUUGAGGCCCGAAAGCGUGGGGAGCGAACAGGAUUAGAUACCCUUGUAGUC
rnacentral:rRNA from 1 species